UACGUAGGGAGCGAGCGUUGUCCGGAAUUACUGGGUGUAAAGGGAGCGUAGGCGGGAUUGCAAGUCAGAUGUGAAAGGCGGAGGCUCAACCUCCGAGCUGCAUUUGAAACUGUAGUUCUUGAGUGAAGUAGAGGUAAGCGGAAUUCCUGGUGUAGCGGUGAAAUGCGUAGAUAUCAGGAGGAACACCGGUGGCGAAGGCGGCUUACUGGGCUUUUACUGACGCUGAGGCUCGAAAGCGUGGGGAGCAAACAGG
rnacentral:rRNA from 3 species